rnacentral:tRNA from 1 species
GUAGAAGUGGCAGAGAAGUGCACUAGAUUUAGGAUCUAGAUAUAAAAUGAAAUGUUUUCUUUUACU